rnacentral:tRNA from 1 species
CAUUAAGAAGCUAUGCAACAGCACUAGCCUUUUAAGCUAGAAAUAGAGGAAACAUCACACCCUCCUUAAUGA